rnacentral:pre_miRNA from 1 species
AUUUAGAGCUCCUGGGGAUGUUGGGUAAAGGCAGAUUCUGAUUAAGAAAGUCUUAAAUGGGGCCCAAGAUUCUGCAUUUCAAAUGAGCUCCCAGUGGUAUUCAU